rnacentral:sRNA from 2 species
CCAAGUUGAGAUUCCGCAACAUAACCGUACUUUUUCUUUCGACCAUCUGUUAAUGACUCGACUUCAGAAAAGUGUGUGACACUCCUUUCAUUCGUUACUCAUAUUCAGCCAACGCUGGUGACCCUGGACAUGGCUCCUUUGAAAACUUGGUUUGCACAAACACCUUUUGGAUACCUUUCUUUCUUUCGUCGCACAUUCGAUAGAGAAGAUCUAGGUCUUCCAGCUUAACACGGGUUGAAACCAUUUGCAAUGGAUCAAGUUCGCCACUUUUCACGAGCGAGAGUAGGUGUUCCCAGUACUUUUGUAUAGGCGCCUGGCCAUUACCAAUCAGUCUAACACCGCGCUGCAUGAGGGAUCCAAUAUUAAAGUGAUUUGUCUGUCACUGUCAGCGAUUGAUAUUCCAGUUCCUCACCUAAACUUUAUUUAGGGGAUAAUGAAACACUUAACACAUUGAUCCAACGCUCACUCCAUGUUGCGGAUCUAUAAGCUAGUGUCGAGAGAAUCACUUACAUAGCCCACAUAAAUUCCUGUAAUCCCGCACCUCCCAAAAUUCCUCACGGACGUAACCAUCUCAUUCAAGAUUUCCGACGUAUCGGUCUCCGCCCCAAGAAUAAUCUCUAUAUAAUGCGCCCAGCCCUUCGCAUACUCCCCGGCUGCACACUCUAACGCCACAUCCGGGCCCUGCCCACCACGCACCAUUUCCUUCAACACAGAGGUCACCGACUCUCCACUCCGUAAGGUCGAAAAAUCCACCGUCUCAACACGCGGCAGCUUCUCCUUGACAAAGCCUAAACGCCAAGCACCCGCUCCGCCGUCAAUAAUAAUCACCCUGUCCGCGCCGUGCAUGAAGCUGAACUCUGCACACAUCUGCCCGAUGGGUCCCGCACCCCAUAUCGCCACGACGUCUCCCUCCUGCACGCCCGUGUCAACCACACAGUGCCAAGCUGUACCGAGCACGUCCGAGAGGUAGAGGCCCUUCUCAUCAGGGACGUUGGCGGGGAGUGGAAGGAGGUUGGUCUCCGCGUAAGGCACACGGACAUAUUCAGCUUGACCACCGGCAAAACCUCCAGUGAGGUGGGAGUAGCCAAACAUUCCUAUUUAACAUUCAGUGGUUAACAUAUUCUACCCAUGCUACCCAGGACUUGCAAAAUAAAUAGAAUGGUGGUAAUACUGACCUGCUGUGCGUGACCCAUACAUCUCAUUUUCCAACUGGCUAGCAUUUGUGCGCUCGCAUUGCGAGGAGAGCUUCUGCUUGCAGUAUUUACAAUCACCGCAGGCGAUUUGGAAGGAUGCGACGACACGAUCGCCCUUUUUCAGAUUUUUGACGCUCACGCCUACGGAUUCUACUUCUCCGCAAAAUUCAUGGCCCAUGAUAUCUCCCUUUUGCAUUUCAACAACGGAACCUGGAGGGCGACCAUAUCAGAAUAAACUGUACCGCAAAAAUGUGCAUGUAUAUUUGGAGGCUGUAAAGAUAGUAGAAUAUAAUCUAUGCGCACCGUGAUAGAGAUGCAAAUCGCUCCCGCAAAUUGUCGUUCCGGUAACUUUCAAAAUUGCAUCUGUAUCCUCGAUAAUCUUGGGUUUAGGAACAUCCACUGUUAUUCCCAAAAUUCGUAUCAGUAAAAUGAAUACUUCGUUUCCCCAUGAAGAAGCUAGAGGGCUAUCCCUUGCUUGAUAUAUUUUGUACAAUUUCGACAUACCAACGGCCACAUCGUUUUUCCCCAGCC